rnacentral:piRNA from 1 species
UUUGCCUCUGCUCACCACA